GUGCUCACUUCAUCAGCACAUAUACAACAAUUGGAAUGAUACAGAGAAGAUUAGCAUGGCCCCUGAACAAGGAUGACAUGCAAAUUCAUGAAGCGGUUCAUAAUAAA
ensembl:snRNA U6 U6 spliceosomal RNA